AGGCUAUAGCUCAGUGGCAGAGUGUGUGCCUAGCAUGCACAAGGUCCUGGGUUCAAUCUCCAGUAACUCUG
rnacentral:tRNA from 1 species